rnacentral:rRNA from 1 species
UACGUAGGGGGGCUAGCGUUGUCCGGAAUCAUUGGGCGUAAAGCGCGUGUAGGCGGUCCGGUAAGUCCGCUGUGAAAGUCGAGGGCUCAACCCUCGAAUGCCGGUGGAUACUGUCGGGCUUGAGUACGGGAGAGGCGAGUGGAAUUCCUGGUGUAGCGGUGAAAAUGCGCAGAUAUCAGGAGGAACACCGAUUGCGAAGGCAGCUCGCUGGAACGUUACUGACGCUGAGACGCGAAAGCGUGGGGGAGCAAACAGG